rnacentral:rRNA from 1 species
CCAUGCCGCGUGCAGGAAGACGGCCCUAUGGGUUGUAAACUGCUUUUAUAUGGGAGCAAUAAGGCCUACGUGUAGGUUGAUGAGAGUACCAUAUGAAUAAGCACCGGCUAACUCCGUGCCAGCAGCCGCGGUAAUACGGAGGGUGCAAGCGUUAUCCGGAUUUAUUGGGUUUAAAGGGUGCGUAGGCGGUUUGAUAAGUCAGCGGUGAAAUAUUUCAGCUUAACUGGAAGGGUGCCGUUGAUACUGUCAGGCUUGAAUUUAGUUGCUGUGGGUGGAAUGUGUGGUGUAGCGGUGAAAUGCAUAGAUAUCACACAGAAUAUCGAUUGCGAAGGCAGCUCACAAAGCUAAAAUUGACGCUGAUGCACGAAAGUGUGGGGAUCAAACAGGAUUAGAUACCCUGGUAGUCCACACUUUAAACGAUGAUAACUCGCUGUCGGCGAUACAUAGUCGGUGGCCAAGCGAAAGCGAUAAGUUAUCCACCUGGGGAGUACGACCGCAAGGUUGAAACUCAAAGGAAUUGACGGGGGCCCGCACAAGCGGAGGAACAUGUGGUUUAAUUCGAUGAUACGCGAGGAACCUUACCCGGGCUCGAACGGUGCAUGAAUGAUUCAGAGAUGGAUUAGUCCUUCGGGACAUGUAUCGAGGUGCUGCAUGGUUGUCGUCAGCUCGUGCCGUGAGGUGUCGGCUUAAGUGCCAUAACGAGCGCAACCCUUGUCGUUAGUUACCAUCAAGUAAUGUUGGGGGACUCUAGCGAGACUGCCACCGUAAGGUGUGAGGAANNNNNNNNAUGACGUCAAAUCAGCACGGCCCUUACGUCCGGGGCGACACACGUGUUACAAUGGUAGGUACAGAGGGCAGCUACCCAGUGAUGGGGUGCGAAUCUCAAAAACCUAUCUCAGUUCGGAUUGGAGUCUGCAACUCGACUCCAUGAAGUUGGAUUCGCUAGUAAUCGCGCAUCAGCC